rnacentral:lncRNA from 1 species
CUUCUGCACUGCCAUAGUAGAAGUUUCCCAAGAGGCUCUGCCUCUGCAAGAGGCUUCUGCCUGGAAACAGUAGGCGGUGGUGUGUAGGCGGUGGUGGAUCCUUCACCAGUGGUUAAUCUUCUUGAUGCUGAUCUGAAAGUGAGUUCUCAUGUGAUCUGGUUAUAUAAUGGGCUGUGGCACCUCUUUUCUCUCUGUGUCUUGCUUCUAUUUCUGCCAUAUGAAACAUCUCAUUGCCACUUGGCCUUCUGAUGUGGUUAGGAGGGGCCUGAUCAGUGUGGGCCUGCUCAGUGGACCUAGUCAGUUGGGACUUGGUCAGUGAGGCCUGUUUAGUGGGAGCCUGGCCAGCAGGGGUCUGCUUAGGGAGGGUCUCAUUAGGGGGAUCCAGUAGUGGGGGUUUUGGCGAGUGGGGACCUAUUGGCAGCCAGUUGUUUGGUGUCUGGUCAGUGCAAACCUGGGCUGUGGGGCUUGACCAGUGGCGACCUGGUCAGCUGGGCUUAGUGGUGGCCUGGUCAGCAUGGGCUGGGUCACUGGUGACCAGGUCAAGGGCUGCUAUUCAGUGGUGGCCUGGUCAGCAUGGGGUGGGUCACUGGUGACCAGGUCAAGGGCUGCUAUUCAGUGGAGGACUGGUCACAUGGGACCUAGUCAGCAGGGCCUGGUGGGCGUGUCCUCAUCAGUGAGGCCCUUGUCGGUGGGGCCCUGAUCAGGGAAGCCUGGUCAGUGGAACCUCAUCAGUGGGGGCCUGGUCAGUGAGGACUUGGUCAGUGGUGGCUUUUGUACCACUGGUCUACGGGGUAACCUGGUCAGCGGGGACCUGAGCAGUCGGUGCCUGUUCAGUGGGGCCUACUCACUAGAGUCCCAGUCAGGGGCAUCUGGUCACCUCAGGCCUGGUUAGUAGGGGCCUGAUCAGUGGCAGCCUGUUCCCUGGAGGCCUGGUCAGUGGGGCCUCAUCUGUGGGGCCAGGUAGUGGGGUCAUGAUCGGUGGAAUCUGAUCAGUGAGGCUUUGUCAGUAAUGACCUAGUCAGUGAGGCCUUGUCAGUAAGGACCUGGUCCAUGAGGCCUUGUCAGUGAGGCCUUGUCAGUAAGGACCUGGUCCGUGAGGCCUUG